ensembl:lncRNA
UAAAUGGAGAGUAAUUAAAUGCCUUGGUCGUGAAAGUAGGCUAAAGUUGUACAACAAAGACGUGGGCGUUUACACUGCAGCGACGUCUUUUAAUCGAAUAAUCACAAUCAUUAACGUGAUCAAUCGGAAACCCGGGAAACCUUACGGAAAAAGCCGCCGGGUAACAAGAAAAACUUUACCACAGUUUCAUCAUCAGACAUCAGUGAGACAUACACACGGUGCAGAUGUGUUUCAGCUCCGGUGUGCACGCACAGUGCUUGUGGUAAAACUUGAAGCAAACAAUACUGGCAGAGGGAUGUUUCCUCCAGGUCCAUUUAGCAGCCGAUGAGGAGCUUUCGGUCACGAUGGGAGCCCAGUGGUCAUCGAAGUCCUUUCAAAAUAUCCUUUCUGUCUGAUCGCUUCUGAGGCUGCUGCAGAAAAAUGAAAACACCAGAGCAGGUCUUCAUAGAAGCAGUGGAAAAUAACUAUGUACUCAACUUUAGUGCUAAGGAUUUAAAAAAGUGUACUUUCCCCCAUUUUCAUUUCUGUGAGUGCUUUAGUUACUCUGGAGUUUCAGAUUAAACGUCCAACAUCGGAAUGCUUGUUUCAUUUUCUCAUUUCUAAUUUUCUGAUAUUAUAAAGCAUUCUAAUCAGAAUAGAUCAGUCAGAAACAAAUAUUUAAAGGUGCAAACAUUUGUUUCUGGACCAGAUUACAGAGGUGUUGGCAGGUGGCAGAGGCACAUCUGGAACGAAACAACUGCCUCUUGGCUCACAUCUGUAUCGCUUUCACUACACUGAAGAAAUCUGUGCUGUUUAAGCACAUGGAGCAGAUACUUACACUCCACUGUGUGCACACAAACAGUGCAGAGUGUGAAUGCUGGUACUUCCACAUUUACAUAUUAAGACUCUUCGCUGUCCAGCAGGUCACAUGACUUACUUUCCUACACUGUAAUGGUCCCAAUCAGCCAACAGCAAACAGCAACGAGGCCAGAGGUCAGAGCAGCUGGAAAAUAAGUCUGAGGUCAUAAUUAUGAAAAAGCAAUAUGGGGAAGAAGUAAUGGGGAGAAAGGCCGAGAUGAACAGGACUAACGUACAGGCUGUGCACACUGAUGGUGGAGCUCAUUAAUCCAGCAGCAGCAGCACAUCCUCCAUCGGCUCUGCGUGUGCAGCAGAUAGCAUGGAGAUCAUCUGCAUAGAUGUGUUUUGAACUGCAGACAGGAAGAGCAGUAACACAUGACUGACAUGCAUGUUUGCUCUGUGCAACCCAGAGAGAGGGCACUAAGAAGGAAGUGGUGGAAGAAGCAUAACUGAAACUCUUCAAACGUGACAUAAACAAAAUGACUAUUAUACAGUUUGAAUGAAAGACGGGAGUGCUCUCUUUACAUUGAAUAGCAAAAAUGUUUCAUAGCAUAUUUAGCUGACUUUGUAGAGAAAAUGGGAAUCUGCUGUCAAACUCUGUUGCUCAUUUCUGAAGAAAGGCAAAUAAAUAAAUAAAUAAAUAAAAGCUCAGACCUCAUUAUUUGAUUUUGAACAAGGUCUCCUCUCUUCUCCUGACUUUUCCUGCCUGAGCAAACUCAUCAUUACAGUAAUGAGGACUGUUCCUCUCAGCUUGUUGUUUGUCUUUUUGUUUUUCACGUUUUCUCCACAAAGAUGCUGAAGUAACACGAGAUGUUUCCUACCUGCAGGCUCUGCAAGGAGGAGCACUGGGCCUAAUACCGGCACAAAGAAGAAGACGAGAGGUCCGACUUUUCUUCUUAAACUUUUUGGACAUAAACGCCCUCGCAGCCUCUCAGAACAGUGAUUGUGUAUUUUGUUUUUUUAAGUGAUGAAUAAAAACUUCAUUUUGUGGAUUCUGCAGCAAACUGAAGCCUUCAUGCAGUAUCAGAGGUUGGUGUGUGUACAGUAAUAACCAUGUUCUUACUUCUUGCCUUAUUCUGACAGCAUCACUCAUUGAAGGGCUGCUCUGGUUGCUCCUCAGGCUUCCAUGAAAACACUGAGACAACAGCGUGUUACUGCAUCUCUAACAAACACUUUACCUGCAGCUUUUAGGCCCGUGCACAUUUGUUAGGCUGGGGUUGUAGCUCAGUGGCACAGAGUGGCCUUUCAUAGACACACACACUGAUGGUUUUGAUUUUUAACAGUGAGUAGAUUAAAAUAAUUUGUAUUUUCACCUCACGCUUAAAAGGUUGUAAUUAAUGUAAUUAGAGAACGUUCUGAAUAAAAAUGAUCUUAACUUUCAGUUCAAAGUGGAACGAGGUUCCUGCGAUGGUUCAGCUCUGGCAGAAAUUCGUCUUUUGCCGGCUGCUGACGAUCAUGGACACACAGCAGCUAACUGAACUUCCACUGGAAUGUGGUUGGAGGGCAGAAUGUUUCAUACAGACAGGCUGUUUCUGAGUUGUGUCUUCACAAAGUUAGUUCCAAAAAUCAAACAUCAUCAUUUGUCCAUCCGGGUGAUUUUGAAGAACAACUGUAUCACCUGCAAUGCAGUGAUCUCAC